UACGUAGGGGGCGAGCGUUGUCCGGAUUUAUUGGGCGUAAAGAGCUCGUAGGCGGUUUGGUAAGUCGGGUGUGAAAUCUCCAGGCUCAACCUGGAGGGGUCAUUCGAUACUGCCAUGACUAGAGUUCGGUAGGGGUGUGUGGAAUUCCUGGUGGAGCGGUGAAAUGCGCAGAGAUCAGGAGGAACACCCGUAGCGAAGGCGGCACACUGGGCCGAUACUGACGCUGAGGAGCGAAAGCGUGGGGAGCGAACAGG
rnacentral:rRNA from 1 species